rnacentral:rRNA from 1 species
UUGACGGGGCCGCACAAGCGGUGGAGCAUGUGGUUAAUUCGAAGCAGCGCGAAGAACCUUACCAGGUCUUGACAUCCCCUGGCAACCCGAGAGAUCGGGCGUUCCCCUUCGGGGGACAGGGUGACAGGUGGUGCAUGGUUGUCGUCAGCUCGUGUCGUGAGAUGUUGGGUUAAGUCCCGCAACGAGCGCAACCCUCGACCUUAGUUGCCAGCAUUCAGUUGGGCACUCUAAGGUGACUGCCGGCUAAAAGUCGGAGGAAGGUGGGAUGACGUCAAAUCAUCAUGCCCCUUAUGACCUGGGCUACACACGUGCUACAAUGGGCGGUACAAAGGGUCGCGAACCCGCGAGGGGGAGCCAAUCCCAAAAAGCCGCUCUCAGUUCGGAUUGCAGGCUGCAACUCGCCUGCAUGAAGCCGGAAUCGCUAGUAAUCGCGGAUCAGCAUGCCGCGGUGAAUACGUUCCUGGGGCUU